CGGUUAUUUAAUAGCUUUGAAAUGCCAUUCACCUGUGGCCCAUUUCAAGUUUCCCAUGAUUCUUAGGAAGACCCUGGCCUCCAUCUUGAAAACGGAAAAUAAAAACAGCAGACCUAUGAAGGUCGAAGGGGAAGAAAAGCUGUAUCGAUUGUUGAGAUCUGGCGACUUGUUUAAAUUUCAUCAGCCUCACUUCUAUGAACUCUCAGAGCUGAUUACCAACUCCUACCACUGUUAACCCUCAUCCAGGAACAAGCUUAUGUCUUUAACAUUCUGAGUGGGCUUCAGCAUCCUUGCAUAUGUUCAAUUCUUAAAAACCUGUUGAAAUAAAAGAUCAGGAGACAUAGGAAGGAUGCCAGAAGAGAGCGUGGCCUCACGUGUACCAGCUCUCUGCUCUCCUUUGCCUUGGGACGUUCCAUCCCUGGAAGUUUCCCUGCCCACAUCUUUGUAGAGAGUCCAUUCUCCAAGCUUCAGUGUGUCAUCUGUGAGGACCGUGACCCACCUGGUACAUCGCCUCAGGGCAUUCAUUUCAGGCUCCUUCUAAAUGGCCAAGAUAUCAUGGUAGCUUUGAUCAAAAC
rnacentral:lncRNA from 1 species